rnacentral:rRNA from 1 species
GCGGUGAAAUGCGUAGAUAUCGAGAGGAACACCUGCGGCGAAGGCGGGUUGCUGGGCUGACACUGACGCUGAUUGUGCGAAAGCUAGGGGAGCGAACGGGAUUAGAUACCCCGGUAGUCCUAGCCUUAAACGAUGAAUGCUUGGUGUCUGGGGUUUUAUAGUCCCCGGGUGCCGUCGCUAACGCUUUAAGCAUUCCGCCUGGGGAGUACGGUCGCAAGACUGAAACUCAAAUGAAUUGACGG